CGGGGGGCAGCAGCAGUGAGGAAUAUUGCACAAUGGGGGGAACCCUGAUGCAGCAACGCCGCGUGGAGGAUGACGCAUUUCGGUGUGUAAACUCCUUUUAUAUGUCAAGAAAAUGACGGUAGCAUAUGAAUAAGCACCGGCUAACUCCGUGCCAGCAGCCGCGGUAAUACGGAGGGUGCAAGCGUUACUCGGAAUCACUGGGCGUAAAGGACGCGUAGGCGGGUUGGAAAGUCAGGUGUGAAAUCCUACAGCUUAACUGUAGAACUGCACUUGAAACUUCUAAUCUAGAGUAUGGGAGGGGGAGAUGGAAUUAGUGGUGUAGGGGUAAAAUCCGUAGAUAUCACUAGGAAUACCUAAAGCGAAGGCGAUCUCCUGGAACAUUACUGACGCUAAGGCGUGAAAGCGUGGGGAGCAAACAGGAUUAGAUACCCGCGUAGUC
rnacentral:rRNA from 1 species